AGCAGAUUGAGUGUUUGUUUUGGUAAUAGGCAACAAAUAGGCUUUGUUCCUUCAACUUUCUACGCUUUCUUUCUAUCAUUUUCUCUCAAUUUUCUCAAUUAUCAAGGGAAAAACUUAAUUUCUUUACAAUUCCUGAUUUCAUUGGCAUUUCAGAGCCAAUCAUCCUCCAACCGAAUGUAAGUAGACCAAUAUACGGUCCCAUUUUUUUUUUGGGUAUACAAAAGAUAUAUCAUAAUUAAAGAGUCAGCGAUUCCACAUAUAAUGGUUUAACAAUUUAAUCAAUUAUAAGAUUAAGUAAUACUUAUUACAUUCAAAAUCCAGAUCUCAUAUGAGGGAUACAACAAAAAUACAUAAUAUAUGCCUUGACAAAGGCUUGAGUAUCACAAAUCCAGCCUAAAUACUCAAAUAUCAAAUUUUCAUUGGCAUUAAAUGUUUAUCAAUUUGAUGUUAAAUCUCAAGAUUAAUCACCAUAAAAGUCUCCAAAAUAUGGCAUCAUAUCUUGUAAACUCCAGCCUAUGAAGGUUCCACUAAGCUCACGAAGAGUAGAGUGCACAUAAUUCAUCAAUUUAGUUGAUCAAAAUCAGACAAAUGAAAACCAGUAAAUCUAUAUAUCCCACCCAUCCCAAAAAAUCCAACAACUCAUCUUACAAAGGAUACGAAAAUUAUUCUAGAAAUACAUAUUCCCUUUAGCAUAUAGAAUCCCAAAAUUUAGAUUGGCGGCAAAUGCAAGUUUCUUAGAUCAUUAGAUGUCAAUUGACAGCUUAAUAGCUUAAAGGCUUCUUAGUCAUGGUACCUGCAACAACAAAGCGUCCAUUCAGUAAACCAGACUAAGGACCCGUUUGGGGUUGAGUUUGGGAGAUCAAAAAACUCUUUUUGAAAAAGUACUAUUUUAGAUGUUGAAAAAAAACAAUGGUUUGAAAAAAAUUAUUUAGUUGUUUUGAAGUUCUUGUGAAUGAAACAUGUCAAAUUUAACUCUAACAAUACCUCCUAAUUAACAUAUUUAAGGAGGUUUUUUUUAUCAGCUGCAGCUCUAACAUAAAUACCACACAGACCCUAAAGGGAUCUAUUCCAAUAGAAUUGGAUGGUAAUUUUCAACAGUCAUAAAUAGACAAGGAUGCCAACCAGAGGUUUAAAGGAAAAAAGUUCUCACAGAAAAAUCCAAGCAAGCAAGCAAAUGACAAACUGUCAAAUUCCAUACUAGUUCGUUAUUUAUCAAAUAACAUGGACAUAUCAUAUUUCAGCAGUUUACCAAAUGAAAUGUAGAUGUAAAAACUAGUGAACCAAUAGAGCAGGAAAAAAAAUCUCAUCACCUUCUUCUUGGAGCAGAAGCAUCAUCUCGUGGUGAUGGCAUUGCCAAGUUGUUGUCAUCUGAAAGUUGUU
rnacentral:misc_RNA from 1 species